rnacentral:rRNA from 1 species
UGGGGAAUAUUNCAUNAUGGGGGAAACCCUGAUGCAGCGACGCCGCGUGAGUGAAGAAGUAUUUCGGUAUGUAAAGCUCUAUCAGCAGGGAAGAUAAUGACAGUACCUGACUAAGAAGCCCCGGCUAACUACGUGCCAGCAGCCGCGGUAAUACGUAGGGGGCAAGCGUUAUCCGGAUUUACUGGGUGUAAAGGGAGCGUAGACGGAGUGGCAAGUCUGAAGUGAAAACCCUGGGCUCAACCUGGGGACUGCUUUGGAAACUGUUAAUCUAGAGUGUUGGAGAGGUAAGUGGAAUUCCUGGUGUAGCGGUGAAAUGCGUAGAUAUCAGGAAGAACACCGGAGGCGAAGGCGGCUUACUGGACAAUAACUGACGUUGAGGCUCGAAGGCGUGGGGAUCAAACAGGAUUAGAUACCCUGGUAGUCCACGCUGUAAACGAUGAAUACUAGGUGUCGGGGAGCAAAGCUUCUCGGUGCCGUCGCAAACGCAAUAAGUAUUCCACCUGGGGAGUACGUUCGCAAGAAUGA